rnacentral:misc_RNA from 1 species
UUAUCAUUUAGAGGAAGGAGAAGUCGUAACAAGGUUUCCGUAGGUGAACCUGCGGAAGGAUCAUUGUCGAUGCCUAUCAAAAAGGACGACCCGCGAACCGGUUAGACCCUCGGGCGGGCGGAGGGCGCGCGUCGCCCCGAGCCCCCCCUGUCGGGGACUCCCGCAGCCUGGCGCUGCCCGAGUCCGCCCGGCAGAAUAACAAACCUCGGCGCCGGACGCGCCAAGGAACUCGAACGAAGGAGCGCGCUCUCGGCGGCCCGGAGACGGUGCCCGCGCGGGGAGCGUCGCGAGAACUGUAUCCAAAACGACUCUCGGCAACGGAUAUCUCGGCUCUCGCAUCGAUGAAGAACGUAGCGAAAUGCGAUACUUGGUGUGAAUUGCAGAAUCCCGUGAACCAUCGAGUCUUUGAACGCAAGUUGCGCCCGAAGCCAUUAGGCCGAGGGCACGUCUGCCUGGGUGUCACGCAACGUCGCCCCCUCCCCGCCGCCCCCGAGGCGGCGCGUCGGGCGGGGCGGACGAUGGCCUCCCGUGGGCGACUCGCCCCGCGGAUGGCCGAAAGACGAGCCUGCGGCGUGGGCUGCCGCGACGGACGGUGGAAGAGCGAAACCUCGAGACCGGUCGCGCGCGAGUCCUCCCUUGGGGCAGGCUGCGAGACCCUUUAGCGUCGUCGCGUGUAGCGGGCGCUUACGAUGCGACCCCAGGUCAGGCGGGGCCACCCGCUGAGUUUAAGCAUAU